AAGGAAAAGGUAUUAAGGGCACAGGAUGGAUGCCUUGGCACUUACAGCCGAAGAAAGACGUCGCAAGCUGCGAAAAGCCUCGGGGAGCCGCAAGCGGGCCUUGAUCCGGGGAUAUCUGAAUGGGGCAACCCGUCGGAGGAAGACUCCGACACACCGCAAGGUGGGGAACCUGGUGAAGUGAAACAUCUCAGUAGCCAGAGGAAAAGAAAUCGAAGAGAUACCCUGAGUAGUGGUGAGCGAAAGGGGAAGAGCCUAAACUGAACAUGUGUAAGCCUGCAAGCGUUGCAUGUUUGGGGUUGAGGGACCUUCGGGAGCAGAUUGCAGACUGCUCGCAGAGUUAGAAAGCGUCAGCUUAGCUGAACGGUGUUGGAAAAGCCGGCCGUAGAGGGUGAAAGCCCUGUAGGCGAAAAGCUGAAGCCUCUGAGAAGGGAUCCCAAGUAGGCCGGAGCACGUGGAAUUCCGGUUGAAUCAGGGCGGCCCAUCGUCCAAGGCUAAACACUGUAAGUGACCGAUAGCGCAUAGUACCGAGAGGGAAAGGUGAAAAGCACCCCGGGAGGGGAGUGAAAUAGACCUGAAACCCUGUGCCUACAAGCAGUUGAAGCUGGAAGCNNNNNGCGAGUUUCGUGCAGCACACCCGAAGCCCGACGAUCUAGCCAUGGGCAGGUUGAAGUGAGGGUGAAACCUCAUGGAGGACCCAACCAGUGCCUGUUGAAAAAGUCUUGGAUGACCUGUGGUUAGGAGUGAAAAGCUAAUCGAGUUGGGUAAUAGCUGGUUCUCCCCGAAAUGCAUUGAGGUGCAGCCUCAAGUAGUAAGUGUCGGGGGUAGAGCUACUGACAGAUCAAGGGGUCCUGGGGGACUACCGAGAUCUAUCAAACUCCGAAUACCGACACUGUAAACUUGGGAGUGAGACUACGGGUGAUAAGGUUCGUGGUCAAAAGGGAAACAGCCCAGAUCAACAGCUAAGGCCCCAAAGAGUUCGCUAAGUGUGACAAGGAUGUGGGAAGCCUCAGACAGCCAGGAGGUUGGCUCAGAAGCAGCCAUCCUUUAAAGAGUGCGUAACAGCUCACUGGUCGAGGUCUCCUGCGCCGAAAAUGUAGGGGGCUAAGCGAACCGCCGAAGCUAUGGGAUGUGAAAACAUCGGUAGGGGAGCGUACUCUAAAGGGAAGAAGCCGCAUUGUGAAGUGCGGUGGACUACAGAGUAGUGAGAAUGUCGGCAUGAGUAACGCAAUGCGAGUGAGAGCCUCGCACACCGAAAGACCAAGGAUUCCUGGGGAAGGUUCGUCCGCCCAGGGUUAGGCGGGACCUAAGGUCAGGCUGAAAAGCGUAGCCGAUGGACAACCGGUAGACAUUCCGGUCCCGCGAGAGCUUGCAUGACCGAAGGAGUGACGCAGGAGGCUAAGUGGAGCCGGCGGAUGGAAGAGCCGGUUCAAGGGAGUAGGGAGACGAGGCAGGCAAAUCCACCUUGUCGAUAAUCCUGAGACCUGAUGGGGAGCCCUUAGAGGGUGAAGCCACUGAAGCCCGGCUGCCGAGAAAAGCUUCUAGGGAGAGCGAUCGCGCCCGUACCCGAAACCGACACAGGUGGUCAGGCUGAACAAGCCAAGGUGAAUGGGAAAACUCUCGUUAAGGAACUCUGCAAGUUGACUCCGUAACUUAGGGAGAAGGAGUGCUGCGCCCGUGAAAUGGAUACUCAUGUAAGCGGGAAGCAGCCGCAGAAACCAGGCCCAAGCGACUGUUUAAUAAAAACAUAGGACUCUGCGUAAGGUGCAAACCGAAGUAUAGGGUCUGACGCCUGCCCGGUGCUGGAAGGUUAAAGGGAAGAGUUAGCCGCAAGGCGAAGCUUAGAACUGAAGCCCCAGUAAACGGCGGCCGUAACUAUAACGGUCCUAAGGUAGCGAAAUUCCUUGUCGGGUAAGUUCCGACCUGCACGAAUGGCGUAACGAUUUGGGCGCUGUCUCGACGAGAGACCCAGUGAAAUUGUAGUACCGGUCAAGAUGCCGGUUACCCGUGGCGGGACGGAAAGACCCCAUGGAGCUUUACUGUAGCCUGGUACUGACGUUUGACCUUACACGUACAGGAUAGGUGGGAGACUGAGAAUACAGAUCGUUAGAUUUGUAGGAGUCGAUGUUGGGAUACCACCCUUGUGAUGUUGAACGUCUAACGCAUAGCACUGAAGCGUGAAUGCGGACCCUGCCAGGUGGGCAGUUUGACUGGGGCGGUCGCCUCCUAAAGAGUAACGGAGGCGCGCAAAGGUCAACUCAGGGCGGAUGGAAAUCGCCCAGAGAGCGUAAGGGUAUAAGUUGGCUUGACUGCGAGAGUGACAAUUCGAGCAGAGACGAAAGUCGGUCCUAGUGAUCCGGCGGUGCUGAGUGGAAAGGCCGUCGCUCAUCGGAUAAAAGCUACCCUGGGGAUAACAGGCUGAUCUCCCCCGAGAGUUCCCAUCGACGGGGAGGUUUGGCACCUCGAUGUCGGCUCGUCGCAUCCUGGGGCUGUAGCAGGUCCCAAGGGUUGGUCUGUUCGCCCAUUAAAGCGGUACGUGAGCUGGGUUUAAAACGUCGUGAGACAGUUUGGUCCCUAUCCGCCACGGGCGCAAGAUAUUUGAGAGGAGCUGCUCCUAGUACGAGAGGACCGGAGUGGACGCACCGCUAGUGUACCGGUUGUGUUGCCAGACGCAGAAGCCGGGUAGCCAUGUGCGGCAGGGAUAACCGCUGAAGGCAUCU
rnacentral:rRNA from 1 species